ACCAAUGUGGGGUAGUGGUUUAAGUGUUGGACUAUGACUCUGGAGGCCAGGGUUCAAUUCCCAGCUUGGUC